AACGAACGCUGGCGGCAUGCCUAACACAUGCAAGUCGAACGAGACGUCCGGGUCUAGUGGCGCACGGGUGCGUAACGCGUGGGAACCUGCCCGUAGGUUCGGAAUAACUCCCCGAAAGGGGUGCUAAUACCGGAUAAGGUCUUCGGGCCAAAGAGCUAUCGCCUUUGGAUGGGGCCGCGUUGGAUUCGCUAGUUGGUAGGGUAAAAGCCUACCAAGGCGACGAUGCAUAGCUGGUCUGAGAGGAUGAUCCGCCACGCUGGGACUGCGACACGGCCCAGACUCCUACGGGAGGCAGGAGUGGGGAAUAUUGGGCAAUGGGCGAAAGUCUGAUCCAGCAAUGCCGCGUGAGUGAUGCAGGCCUUAGGGUUGUAAAGCUCUUUUACCCGAGAUGAUAAUGACAGUACCGGGAGAAUAAGCUCCGGCUAACUCCGUG
rnacentral:rRNA from 1 species